GUUGUAUGGUUAAGUGACUAAGCGUACACGGUGGAUGCCUUGGCAGUCAGAGGCGAUGAAGGACGUAGUAACUUGCGAUAAGCCCAGAUUAGGUAGUAACAACCAUUUGAGUCUGGGAUUUCCGAAUGGGGAAACCCACUUACAUAAGUAAGUAUCAUUAACUGAAUACAUAGGUUAAUGAGGCGAACCGGGGGAACUGAAACAUCUAAGUACCCCGAGGAAAAGAAAUCAACCGAGAUU
rnacentral:rRNA from 1 species